UACGAAGGGGGCUAGCGUUGUUCGGAAUCACUGGGCGUAAAGCGCACGUAGGCGGAUGUGCCAGUCAGGGGUGAAAUCCCGGAGCUCAACUUCGGAACUGCCUCUGAUACAGCACGUCUUGAGUCCGGAAGAGGUGGGUGGAAUUCCUAGUGUAGAGGUGAAAUUCGUAGAUAUUAGGAAGAACACCGGUGGCGAAGGCGGCCCACUGGUCCGGUACUGACGCUGAGGUGCGAAAGCGUGGGGAGCAAAC
rnacentral:rRNA from 1 species